rnacentral:tRNA from 1 species
GCCGAGAUGGUGGAAUUGGUAGACACAAGGGACUUAAAAUCCCUCGACAGUCAAACGUCGUGCCGGUUCGACCCCGGUUCUCGGCA